rnacentral:misc_RNA from 1 species
CAACCCUCAAGCUCUGCUUGGUAUUGGGCUCCGUCUAUUACUGACGGGCCUUAAAAUCAGUGGCGGUGCCAUUAGGCUCUAAGCGUAGUAAUUUUUCUCGCUAUGGAUGUCUUGUGGAUACUUGCCAGUAACCCCAAAUUUUUAAA